GGGGAUAUAGCUCAGUGUCAGAGCAUUUUCUUAGCAAAUGUGAGGCCCUGAGUUCAAUCCCCAGUAACACCA
rnacentral:tRNA from 1 species